rnacentral:sRNA from 1 species
UCCUGUAUAAAUUACAAAUGUGGUCUGC